GUGUCGCAGCCCGACUUGAACGGAAAUCCUUUUUUUUGUGAUGGGAAAGCCAAGGCAAAAAAAAGAUUGGGAGUGGAAGGCGGAAAUAGCU
rnacentral:sRNA from 1 species